UACGGGGGGAGCAAGCGUUGUUCGGAUUUACUGGGCGUAAAGGGCUCGUAGGUGGCCAACUAAGUCAGACGUGAAAUCCCUCGGCUUAACCGGGGAACUGCGUCUGAUACUGGAUGGCUUGAGUUUGGGAGAGGGACGCGGAAUUCCAGGUGUAGCGGUGAAAUGCGUAGAUAUCUGGAGGAACACCGGUGGCGAAGGCGGCGUCCUGGACCGACAUUGACGCUGAACGGCGAAAGCUAGGGGAGCAAACGGG
rnacentral:rRNA from 1 species